rnacentral:rRNA from 1 species
UACAGGGGGAGCAAGCGUUAUCCGGAAUGAUUGGGCGUAAAGCGUCCGCAGGUGGCAAUGUAAGUCUGCUGUCAAAGCGUCUGGCUCAACCAGAUAAAGGCAGUGGAAACUACAUAGCUGGAGUAAGGUAGGGGUAGAGGGAAUUCCUGGUGUAGCGGUGAAAUGCGUAGAGAUCAGGAAGAACACCGGUGGCGAAAGCGCUCUGCUGGACCUUAACUGACACUGAGGCACGAAGGUCAGGGGAGCAAACGGG